AGUGGGUCGCGGGCCUACGGGGCGGGGGCGGGGCGGCAGUGAGCUCGGCCGGCAACCGAGGGACCCGCGUCCAGAUUCAGAAAAGAACUUGGGAUCAUUCAGCAGAAUGUCACAGCAUCCACAUUCUUUCCGCUGGAGCUUCUGCUGAUGCAAAUCCUGUGACCUCUGAGUUGAGCUGAGUGGUGGAAAUCUUCAGUGUCUAUUGGAUUUUUCCAAGAGAAAGUUUGUAAAAUUCCUUACACUGUAGAUGUGGAUCAGAUACGAUGAUUCAGUAGAAGAGCACAUGUCAGGGGCAGUGGAGGCUGGCUGCUGAAGGAUGAACGGAGAGGAAGAAUUCUUUGAUGCCGUCACAGGCUUUGAUUCUGAUAACUCUUCUGGGGAAUUUUCAGAGGCAAAUCAGAAAGUCACGGGAAUGAUUGACUUAGACACCAGCAAAAAUAAUAGGAUUGGGAAAACUGGGGAGAGGCCCUCUCAAGAGAACGGAAUUCAGAAACACAGGUAGAGUCCAGUGACAGUGGCCAUCACAAGAAGUCUUCAGUCCUUGGCUGGUCGCGGUGGCUCAUGCCUGUAAUCCCAGCACUUUGGGAGGCUGAGACAGGUGGAUCACUUGAGCCCAGGAGUUGGAGAC
rnacentral:lncRNA from 1 species